rnacentral:rRNA from 1 species
GGAGUUAGGAAAUGUAGACUCGCUAAUAUCGGGUCUAUUUGACAAAGGCUCCAAAGGAAGCCACGGCUAACUCUGUGCCAGCAGCCGCGGUAAUACAGAGGUGGCAAGCGUUGUUCGGAAUUAUUGGGCGUAAAGAGCACGUAGGUGGAUUUGUAAGUCAGACGUGAAAGCCUUCUGUUCAACGGAAGAAUUGCAUCUGAAACUACAAACAUUGGGUGUAGGAGGGGAGAGUGGAACUUCUGG